rnacentral:rRNA from 1 species
AUUGAACGCUGGCGGCAGGCCUAACACAUGCAAGUCGAACGAGUGGCGGACGGGUGAGUAAUGUCUGGGAAACUGCCCGAUGGAGGGGGAUAACUACUGGAAACGGUAGCUAAUACCGCAUACCAUCGGAUGUGCCCAGAUGGGAUUAGCUAGUAGGUGGGGUAACGGCUCACCAAGGCGACGAUCCGUAGCUGGUUUGAGAGGACGACCAGCCACACUGGGACUGAGACACGGUCCAGACUCCUACGGGAGGCAGCAGUGGGGAAUUUUGGACAAUGGGGGAAAGCCUGAUCCAGCCAUCCCGCGUGUAUGAUGAAGGCCUUCGGGUUGUAAAGUACUUUUGGCAGAGAAGCGUUAUCUGCAGAAGAAGCACCGGCUAACUACGUGCCAGCAGCCGCGGUAAUAC